GGUGAACGCUGGCGGUAGGCCUAACACAUGCAAGUCGAACGGCAGCACAGUAAGAGCUUGCUCUUACGGGUGGCGAGUGGCGGACGGGUGAGGAAUACAUCGGAAUCUACUUUUUCGUGGGGGAUAACGUAGGGAAACUUACGCUAAUACCGCAUACGACCUACGGGUGAAAGCAAGGGAUCUUCGGACCUUGCGCGAUUGAAUGAGCCGAUGUCGGAUUAGCUAGUUGGCGGGGUAAAGGCCCACCAAGGCGACGAUCCGUAGCUGGUCUGAGAGGAUGAUCAGCCACACUGGAACUGAGACACGGUCCAGACUCCUACGGGAGGCAGCAGUGGGGAAUAUUGGACAAUGGGCGCAAGCCUGAUCCAGCCAUACCGCGUGGGUGAAGAAGGCCUUCGGGUUGUAAAGCCCUUUUGUUGGGAAAGAAAAGCAGCAGGUUAAUACCCCGCUGUUCUGACGGUACCCAAAGAAUAAGCACCGGCUAACUUC
rnacentral:rRNA from 1 species